rnacentral:rRNA from 1 species
GAGAUCGGGAUAACACCUGGAAACAGAUGCUAAUACCGGAUAACAACAGAUGAUGCCUAUCAACUGUUUAAAGGAUGGUUCUGCUAUCACUCUUGGAUGGACCUGCGGUGCAUUAGCUAGUUGGUAGGGUAACGGCCUACCAAGGCGAUGAUGCAUAGCCGAGUUGAGAGACUGAUCGGCCACAUUGGGACUGAGACACGGCCCAAACUCCUACGGGAGGCAGCAGAU